AUUUUAAGGAAGACAAGUAAAAUGUAAAUAUAAACACCAUGAAAGCUUUGGCUUUAAUUACUAUUUGAUUAAUCCUCUGGUUUGCUGCCUUUUAGUUGUAUUCAAUGGAACAUCUGGUUGAAGAAGGGAAAGAAAAUGCACUGUGAUUACUGUUUUCUACUGCUCCCUCACCUGGGCCCUGCUCCCAGAGACAGAAUGCAAAGGAUACCAGCAGUGCCACCCAUAAAUAUUGAAACUGUGUCAUCUGAGGGAAGAAAAUGAAGACAGCUUCCAAAAAUGGAAGUUAUAUAAAUUGGUUCUCCUGCUGGGGAAGUCAAAGAAAAAAUUCAGGUGGUGGAAGAGGAACUCCAGUCAGUCCCCCUCCGUCUGGAAGAGCAACAGGACACGUAUGCCACGUCUCCUGGGGAGCCCUCCGAGGGUGGCU
rnacentral:lncRNA from 1 species